rnacentral:rRNA from 1 species
AACGAACGCUGGCGGCAUGCCUAACACAUGCAAGUCGAACGAGACCUUCGGGUCUAGUGGCGCACGGGUGCGUAACGCGUGGGAACCUGCCCUUAGGUUCGGAAUAACUCCCCGAAAGGGGUGCUAAUACCGGAUAAUGUCUUCGGACCAAAGAUUUAUCGCCUUUGGAUGGGCCCGCGUUGGAUUAGCUAGUUGGUAGGGUAAAAGCCUACCAAGGCGACGAUCCAUAGCUGGUCUGAGAGGAUGAUCAGCCACACUGGGACUGAGACACGGCCCAGACUCCUACGGGAGGCAGCAGUGGGGAAUAUUGGACAAUGGGCGAAAGCCUGAUCCAGCAAUGCCGCGUGAGUGAUGAAGGCCUUAGGUUGUAAAGCUCUUUUACCCGGGAUGAUAAUGACAGUACCGGGAGAAUAAGCUCCGGCUAACUCCGUG